rnacentral:lncRNA from 1 species
AAGAAUAGAACAAUACACCUCAAAUGAUACAUACGAGCACACAGUCUUUGUAAAUAUGAGCAAAAUUUAAAAUUUGAUGAAGAAAUGAAGAGUGAUACUAGAUUUGUUGGUGAAGGUGAGUGCCGAGUAGAUAAUGACCGGAGAAAUAACGAUAGCGCAUUUUGAACACAAAUGCUUGAACUAAAGGAAAUUUAAUUAAACAUGUGUUUGGAAAUUUGACGUGCAUCAUUGUCACCAAAUGAUUCUUAUAUGUGCAUAUACAAUCUACUAUAUAAUACAAUUCAUGCAUAUUAAUAUGGCAACUAUUACCGAUCAUAAAAAAGCGACCACUUUUGACAAUUGUGUGAUAGUGAUUUUUGGUAUUUCUUAAUUUACCUCGCUUAAGCAAAAAAUAAAUGUAAAAAUNN